rnacentral:rRNA from 1 species
UACGGAGGGGGCGAGCGUUAUUCGGAAUUAUUGGGCGUAAAGGGCGCGUAGGCGGCCUUCUAAGUCGAACGUGAAAUCCCCGGGCUCAACCCGGGAACUGCGUCCGAUACUGGGAGGCUUGAAUCCGGGAGAGGGAUGCGGAAUUCCAGGUGUAGCGGUGAAAUGCGUAGAUAUCUGGAGGAACACCGGUGGCGAAGGCGGCAUCCUGGACCGGCAUUGACGCUGAGGCGCGAAAGCCAGGGGAGCAAACGGG